rnacentral:rRNA from 1 species
CCCUUAGAUGUUCUGGGCCGCACGCGCGCUACACUGAUGCAUUCAACGAGUCUAAAACCUGCUCUGAUCGGGGUGGGUAAUCUUUUGAAUGUGCAUCGUGAUUGGGAUAGAUGAUUGCAAUUUUUCAUCUUCAACGAGGAAUGCCUAGUAAACGCAAGUCAUCAGCUUGCAUUGAUUACGUCCCUGCCCUUUGUACACACCGCCCGUCGCUCCUACCGAUUGAAUGAUCCGAUGAAUAUCAUGGAUUGAGGAUGCAAGCAGGUUCGCCUGUCUUCAUCUUCGAGAAGUGAAGUAAAUCUUAUCAUUUAGAGGAAGGAGAAGUCGUAACA